GAUGAACGCUAGCGGCAGGCCUAACACAUGCAAGUCGAGGGAGGAGCUUUCGGGCUUCGACCGGCGUACGGGUGCGUAACGCGUAUACAAUCUGCCUUUCACAUAGGGAUAGCCCGAAGAAAUUUGGAUUAAUACCUAAUGGUAUAUAGGUGUGGCAUCACAUUUAUAUUAAAGCUGAGGCGGUGAAAGAUGAGUAUGCGUUCUAUUAGCUAGUUGGAGAGGUAACGGCUCCCCAAGGCGACGAUAGAUAGGGGUUCUGAGAGGGAUAUCCCCCACACUGGUACUGAGAUACGGACCAGACUCCUACGGGAGGCAGCAGUGAGGAAUAUUGGACAAUGGUCGGAAGACUGAUCCAGCCAUGCCGCGUGCAGGAAGACGGCCUUAUGGGUUGUAAACUGCUUUUGCAGGGGAAGAAUAAGGAGUACGUGUACUUUGAUGACGGUACUCUGCGAAUAAGCAUCGGCUAACUCCGUGCCAGCAGCCGCGGUAAUACGGAGGAUGCGAGCGUUAUCCGGAAUCAUUGGGUUUAAAGGGUCCGUAGGCGGGCUAAUAAGUCAGAGGUGAAAGCGCUCAGCUCAACUGAGCAACUGCCUUUGAAACUGUUAGUCUUGAAUGGUUGUGAAGUAGUUGGAAUGUGUAGUGUAGCGGUGAAAUGCUUAGAUAUUACACAGAACACCGAUAGCGAAGGCAUAUUACUAACAAUUAAUUGACGCUGAUGGACGAAAGCGUGGGGAGCGAACAGG
rnacentral:rRNA from 1 species